UUCGGGAUGCCGGCGAGUGGCGAACGGGUGAGUAACACGUGGAGACCUACCCUGGGGUGGGGGAUAACAGCUAGAAAUGGCUGCUAAUACCGCAUACGCCUUACGAGGGAAAGAUUUAUUGCCCCAGGAGGGUUCCGCGUCGGAUUAGCUUGUUGGUGGGGUAACGGCCUACCAAGGCGACGAUCCGUAGCUGGUCUUAGAGGAUGAUCAGCCACACUGGGACUGAGACACGGCCCAGACUCCUACGGGAGGCAGCAGUGGGGAAUAUUGCGCAAUGGAGGCAACUCUGACGCAGCGAUGCCGCGUGGGUGAAUAAGGCCUUAGGGUUGUAAAGCCCUUUCAGUGGGGACGAUGAUGACGGUACCCACAGAAGAAGCCCCGGCUAACUCCGUGCCAGCAGCCGCGGUAAUACGGAGGGGGCGAGCGUUGU
rnacentral:rRNA from 1 species